ensembl:lncRNA
UCAUACUUUUUUAAUGUAUCACAAUGAGCAAGAAACAUACUUGAUGAAAUAUUUUCAAAGGAGUAUAUUCAAUUACCAUCUACAAUCAACUUAACUAGGACAACAAGGUUUGUGACAAAAGUUUCUUUAAAAGUCUGAAGUUCCAUGUGGUUUAUGUAUGUUAGUUUCCAUGUAAUUUGGUACAGUUUGGAAAUCUUCAUCAUAUAAUUACAGUAACAAAAAAGCUAACAAGACUACAGUAUAGAAAAGACAUCAAGAACAACAUUUUUGGUUUAACUUGCUCUUUUUUGUACAUUGCAAGGCUGUUUUUUCUACCCUCGGUGGGCUGCCUGGAGCCACGGAGCCAUGCUUGUGAGGCUCGGAGGAGGAAUAAUUCAAGGAAACAAAAAGAAAAACAAAAUGCAUUAAAAAAAAACAUUGUGGCACCAGGAGUCACAAAAGGAACAGAGAGAGCUCCAAGUAACAGUUCAUCUUUGAAGUUGGAGCAAAUGGUUUGUUUGGUUGUUUGUUAGUUUGGUUGUUAAUUUUGGUUGAUUCGCUUUUUUGUGUGUAACUGCCUCUUUAGGAAUGACAGCCUAGAAAACCCCUCCCCUUUCUCUCUGGUUCAUUUCUCUCAUGGUGUGAUGAACAGAAGAGAGGGGCGAGCCGCCAUCUGACUGGAGAGCUUAUACUUGUCCAUCAGCGAGACAAGCAGGAGGAAAUGAAACAGGUAGCAACAACAUGAACCGGGAGAAAUGAAGCGAGCAUCUCUGUCCAUCCCGUCCAGAAGUGCAGAAACAUGUCCAUAAAAGAGCAGAAGCAGAGGCAGAGCUGGAGAAAGACAGAGAGAGAGAAAGAGAGAGAGGCAGCUGUAGCCACUAUAGUUCAGCUUCUUUAUCUAAGUUAAUUCCUCUCUGUGUCACAUGUCCACUGGUUCCAGAGUCCAUUCCCAUCACAGAGAUGUCAAUAAGCAAAUAAGGUUGUGAAUGUGAUAUCAAAGCCGCCUUGAGCCUGCCUUUGGCUCCCACGCCCAGUUUUGGUGUGCGCACAGCCUCCCCUGUCCUCUCAACAACAUCUCCAAAGUUUCCCAGAGUUCAUUUCUUCUUUUCAUUCCUUCUUAUCGUUUCAAACUAAAAGUUGAUGUCUCGUUUUAAAUAUAUCUAUAUCUGUAUACAUGUUCAUUUUCACAGUGGGCAGAAGAUGACCUCUACAGCAAAACCUUGUGUUUUUCUUUCUUUGUAAAUGUCCAUGAAAAUCAAGUAUCCCAAUGUGAGUCUAAGGAUCUCAGUUAUCUAUUGUUUGUGCCACAAUAAAAUAUACACUUAUGUGGGGCACACAUUUGAAUUUUUCUUUUUGUUUUCAACUGCAUAAAGCUUUGGCCACAUUCAUAUAUUCAAUCAAAAUAAAAACUGCUCAGUGCUUCGGUAUCGUAGUUCUCCUCAUUUUGAUUAUUGUUACUUUUAAAAUUCAAAUUCUCUAAAUCUUCACUUUAUUCAUAAUCCAGCUUUCGGUUCAGUACGUUUUGGUGCGUAAAUAAAGGUACAGUAUAAAAUAAAAUGUAUAAAAACUCAAAACUGAUGCUGGCUCUUAUGAAACACUCACACGCACACAUACAAACUCACACACACAGUCCAUGCUGGCUGCAUCUGUUGUGAAAACCAUGACUUUGUCUUUCACAAAAGAGCCCAAAAUAAAGAUUACACUUUGGAAAUUAGGAGAUCAAACAGCGUCCAAAAGACAAACAAAUAGAAGAACAUUAUUACACCAUAAAGUGGCCAGGUCAUAGAAUAAAGAUUUUUU